UAGGGAAUCUUCGGCAAUGGACGAAAGUCUGACCGAGCAACGCCGCGUGAGUGAAGAAGGUUUUCGGAUCGUAAAACUCUGUUGUUAGAGAAGAACAAGGACGUUAGUAACUGAACGUCCCCUGACGGUAUCUAACCAGAAAGCCACGGCUAACUACGUGCCAGCAGCUGCGGUAAUACGUAGGUGGCAAGCGCUGUCCGGAUUUAUUGGGCGUAAAGCGAGCGCAGGCGGUUUCUUAAGUCUGAUGUGAAAGCCCCCGGCUCAACCGGGGAGGGUCAUUGGAAACUGGGAGACUGGGGUGCAGAAGAGGUGGGUGGAAUUCCAUGUGUAGCAGUGAAAUGCGUAGAUAAAUGGAGGAAAAGCAGUGGCGAAGGUGGCUCUCUGGUCUGUAACUGACGCUGAGGCUCGAAAGCGGGGGGAGCGAACAGG
rnacentral:rRNA from 1 species